UUUUCUUGAUGCAUGUGUGCUGGUGUACUGUUUGUUAUCUAUACUUAAAAACCAAUUCAGAACAUUGCCAGGUGAAACAAAGCCAUUCAUACUUGAGCCAUUGGAGUUGUAUGUGGAGAGGAAACAAAACUGUUCCCACCCUCCAAGAGAUCUGGGAUUCUGGGGCUUUUAAAUAGAGCUCUGGGUCAGGAGAGGAAGUCUCCUCUUCAUGUAAAGGUGCAGGAGAGCUCCAGUGGUCAGGAAUUGGCAAUCUUGAGUAGAGGAAGCCUGAAGCCUGUUUGGACUGCUUUGAACGGCUGGAAAUGGGUCUCAGUGAAGAUGGAAGGGUUGGCGAGGUUGCAGAAGAUGGAGUGCAAAGGGACCCAGUGAUUUUUUUUGGAAGGCAUCAGAAGACUGAAGCUGACAGAAGGUAUCAGAAGAAUGCUGACAGAAGCAAAGAAAAGCACAUUGUAUGUUAUAAGAGGGUUUGUGAGGGGUUAGUGUGUCGGGAAUGGGGAAGAUGAAGGUGGAUGUCUGUUUACUGGCAGUUCUGUUGGCCUGAUCUCAAGGUGGGAAUGCAGAGUUGCAAAAAGCAGGUAUAAGCUAUUUGAAUGGCCCAGUGGAAACACUACCAAAAAUUGGCCCAGGAAGAAGUAAAGGAGUACAUGUUUUUCUGUUGUUUUUUUUUUUUUAUGGUGUAGAAAAACAUCUGGCCAGGACUGAGGGUAGGAGUAGAAGUCUGAAAGCAAAUGUAAAUAGAGAAUAACCAAAGCACUGUGGUUCUCUGUAAAAGUUUCUUUGUAAGUAACAUACAUGGAAUACAAUUAAAGCUCAUAUUGCAUCUCAAAAAAAAAAAAAAUGCUGCUCACAGGUAUCUGUAUAGAUAGCUGUCAUCACAUCAGCUCAAAUACUACUGUAAUGGCAAACAUCUUUGCAACACACUCCAGUAUUUUGUAGUUUAUACGUGCUAUUACAAAAUAACUCCAGCUCCAUAGCAUAUGUUUUAUUUGAGAAACAUCAGGGGGAAAACCCUGGCCUAAUGUUUUUCAGAAAAAUGUUAUGAAAAAUUUCCUACCCCUCUUAUGGUUUUGGGGCAUUAGUUCCCUGAAAACAAAAGCCCUGAAACAAUUUUUUUCCCCCAGUCUAUCAGACCUGAAGCAGUGGGGGGAGCUUGCUUCUCACUCUAAUGUUAUAAAAAAAAAAAAAGGUGAUUGCAGUAAAUGGGCUGGACUUUAAGUGUUUCUUUUUUAGAUCUGCAUUUCAAAUGUUUUCUUUUGCAAAUUCAUUUUCUACCAGCUGCUACUGUUAAGAAAAAGUGGUACCUUCUGUCAAGAAGACCUAUGCAAUCUCAGAGAAGCAAUCACUCAGAGAAGGGGGGAGGGAGGUACAUUUUUGCCCUAUUGCUUAAUUGCUGUACUGCCCCCAAGAGUGCUUUGCAUUUCAAUUUUUAUCAGCAAUCUCAUCCUCUGCCUUGCAACAAGGGUCCAGCAUUGGCCCUAAAGGGGGUCUUCAUGUGUUUUACCUUUUAAACUAAAUGGCUUAUAAGGAGAAGUUUACUCGGUUUUGUCUUUGUCCCUCAGUAUGGAUAUUAUGAAUAAAAGGGAAACAAUGUUUAGGAUAAUAUUUGAUAGAGCCUCCAUGGACUUGUAUGGUCUAUCUGAAAACAAAAGGAAAAUAUUUUUAAUAGCUUUUGGCUCUGGAAGCAAUCCAGACACUCCAUAAAUUCCUAUGUCAAUGUAGAUUUCUUCUUCCAGCUUUGCAAGUUCUCAUUCUAGGAAAUUAUUAGGAAUGAGAAGGUAUUAAAGUCCUUAACAGUUGAAGUUUAUAAUAGUAAUGUCUUCAUCUAAUUAGAAAUGUGAUGAACAGUCCAAGUUUUGUCUCAGGGCUGUUUGCAUUCACCCAUACCCUUUCACAGUAUGAGGGCCUGCUAUCUGGGUAUGCAUUUCUACAAUUAUGCUAACCUCUCAUGAUUUGUCUUCCCUUUGGUAGUAAGAAUCAGCCUAGCCGCUUCAUCUUACACUGCAUGAUCAGGUAUUUAAUCCUAACAAGGCUCAAGGAUCCCUACAAAGGUGAUCAACUGGAUCUUCAAUUCGGCCACUCUCUGCACUGCGAGGCAGAGUCAAUCUUUUGGAGAUCUCUUGGGAUAUUGGCACUGGUUUUUCACAGGUACUCUGGCUACUUUAUCAACAGGGAAAAAGAAAUGUGGGACGGUGGCAAAGAAAACCCUGCAUCUGAGCUUGAAGUUGUCCCCACUGACUCAAGCUCCUCCUAAGGACUGUGGCAACAAACUGAUGCUCAAACCAGGUGCAGUACUCAUCAGACAUCUUAAAGGCCGCCCAAAGCAGCAAAUCCACCUCCUGUGUGGCCACAAAUCGUUAAAGGGGUGGAGACCACUAUUGGAUCAAGCCAUCCUGAAGCUCAAUCAGAGAUUUGUUGCCCCCACCUAGCCUAUGCCCAAUAUCAGAACUUCCCCCCAGGAGAGAAGGAUUGCAUGCUCCAGGUGUGGAAAUUAGAACCUGAUGCUUUCCUGCUGGUGGUUGCAACCCAGGAAGCUGCAGGAGCAGACCUGAGAGUGCCCAUCGAUAUCCAUGUAAAUAAAAAAUAACAGACUUGGGCACUACUGGGCAUAGAUCUAUGGGGGGAGGAUGUAAUAGACCCUGGCUACCAAGGAAUGCUUCUCCACCUAGACCCAGAGAGACCUGAAAUGAGCCUCAUAGCAGGAGACAGAGUGGUGCAACUGAUCCUGCACAAAAUCACUUUCCCUCAUGUGACAAAAGGGAAACCUUCUGCACAGAGUAAAGAAAAGGGGGAAAGACAAUUUGAGGCCCCAAGAGCAAAAGUGUGGGUGAAGGGAGGCACUGGGUAACUGAAAGCAGGUAAAGUAUUCUUCCCUGCUGGAAAAAAUGCUUCAGAUCUCCAAAUAGAAGAAGACUUCUCUACAAGAGUGACUAAUGAUUGUCUUUUUGUUCAGUAGACUUCAAUAAGAACUCACAAGGAGGAUUGCGGUCACCUUUUCCAAGCUUGUGAGUUGAGGUGUGAAUCUGUUUAAAGCAGGGAUGUCUACGCUGGCUGAAAUGCUUGCCUAAACUUCUCCUGUGCCUCUUCCUCCCGCUGACCACUGCAUAUACUAACAUAUCAGCUACCAGAUUGCCAUCGCUGAACAGCAGUAUAACUAUUGGGUCUACACGUCUAUGCCUCAUCACUCGCAAGGGAGAUUCCCUGUCUAGACAAGGCCGCUGAAUGACUCUAAAAUUUGUGACUAUUUUGACUUUGAGAGAGAGCCAGUGCAAACUCAGCACUCUCUAAUAAUCAACUAAAUCUCUAAAUGUGCUUUUAUUGUUGAUAUGCCAUAUGUCCGCAGUACAUACAACAGGCAGAUAAAACCCCUCAAGUGAAACUCAGGGCCUCCUGCGGAAGAUUGGGCGUGCAGACUGUAAGAGAGAGCUUGCAGGGGUGGAUUGCCCUGUAUUCAACUGCCUAAGCCAUUUUCCUUCUCCGUCCUGAAGCAUCAAAUGUGGAACUCUUACGAUCACAGACAGAAUCCCUUUGUUACCCCAGAUGAACUCAAAGGCAAAUGCUCUACAAGGCAGACAACGGACACUUUCAUCUUACCUGGGACUCUGAAAUACAUAGAACGUAUAGCAGCAGCAGCAGCAGCAGCAGCAUCUGAUUAUGCUUGACCUACUGGUGCAUCUAAAUAUUACAAAAAAGAAAAUACUGAAAUAUUGUCACAGCAGUAUAUAGAAGGAUUCGAAAAUCAUGAACAUUUAAAAGCACUUCCCCUGGGAGAUAGCCGCUGAGAUGCUAAUUGGCUAAGGGACAGAAGACUUCUACAAGACUCAUGGGUAUGGUGCUGAUCUCAGACUGAAACAGCCCUUGCAGUUAGAAGGUUUCUAGGAAAGUCCUUGCAGACUGUUACUCUCAACUACGCUUAAAUUUCCAGUUGAUGUUUACUAAGGUAAACCGGCUUCUGUUGCAUCAAUUAAGGGAAGGUGAUGGAGAAGUGUUGCCAUCUGCGCUGUUCAAACUGUUUGUGCCACCUCUGCUUCAGUAUAAGAUAUGACCUUGGCACAAUGUGUUUCAGACAGUAAUGAGUUUGCCAUGCCUUGUUGCACACCCAAGAGAAACCUAUGAAGAAACUGGGAAAGUAUUAUUACCCUGGAUCUCAAAGACUGGAUUCAAGAAAUGUAUAACUUAGCCAUUUUUGAAAAGGCAAUUUUUUCUUCUAAUGCAAAAAACAAUAUAAUAUGUUUCUCUUUGGCAUAGAUUACGUAAUAUUCUACAAGCAUAUAUAAUUUGUAUGUGUAAUUUGAUAUGUCGUUAUUAAAAGAAAUGGGUAUGUAAUAUAUUUAGGUGAUUGGCAUUAAUUUUAGGUUAAUUAAUUUUCAGGGUUUUAAAAAAAUGUUUAUUGUAUUACUUGCCUUGCUUUGUACUGUAGUAUUUCAUUAAUUUGGUGGUUAUGUAUAUUAUUGCUCUUCUUUUAAUUUGUUUCUGCAUA